AAGUCGAACGUGAAGCCGGCUUCGGCCGGUGGAAAGUGGCGAACGGGUGAGUAACGCGUGGGAACCUGCCCAGUGGUAGGGAAUAACCGCGGGAAACUGCGGCUAAUACCCUAUGUGCCCUACGGGGGAAAGAUUCAUUGCCAUUGGAGGGGCCCGCGUCGGAUUAGGUAGUUGGUGGGGUAACGGCCCACCAAGCCGACGAUCCGUAGCUGGUCUGAGAGGAUGAUCAGCCACACUGGGACUGAGACACGGCCCAGACUCCUACGGGAGGCAGCAGUGGGGAAUAUUGGACAAUGGGGGCAACCCUGAUCCAGCAAUGCCGCGUGAGUGACGAAGGCCUUAGGGUUGUAAAGCUCUUUCGGCGGGGAAGAUGAUGACGGUACCCGCAGAAGAAGCCCCGGCUAACUCCGUGCCAGCAGCCGCGGUAAUACGGAGGGGGCUAGCGUUGUUCGGAAUUACUGGGCGUAAAGGGCGCGUAGGCGGCGUCGUAAGUCAGGCGUGAAAGGCCCGGGCUCAACCCGGGAACUGCGCUUGAUACUGCGGCGCUCGAGUCCGGGAGAGGAUGGCGGAAUUCCCAGUGUAGAGGUGAAAUUCGUAGAUAUUGGGAAGAACACCGGUGGCGAAGGCGGCCAUCUGGACCGGUACUGACGCUAAUGCGCGAAAGCGUGGGGA
rnacentral:rRNA from 1 species